AACGAACGCUGGCGGCAUGCCUAACACAUGCAAGUCGAACGAGACCUUCGGGUCUGGUGGCGCACGGGUGCGUAACGCGUGGGAACCUGCCCUUAGGUUCGGAAUAACUCCCCGAAAGGGGUGCUAAUACCGGAUAAUGUCUUCGGACCAAAGAUUUAUCGCCUUUGGAUGGGCCCGCGUUGGAUUAGCUAGUUGGUAGGGUAAAAGCCUACCAAGGCGUCGAUCCAUAGCUGGUCUGAGAGGAUGAUCAGCCACACUGGGACUGAGACACGGCCCAGACUCCUACGGGAGGCAGCAGUGGGGAAUAUUGGACAAUGGGCGAAAGCCUGAUCCAGCAAUGCCGCGUGAGUGAUGAAGGCCUUAGGGUUGUAAAGCUCUUUUACCCGGGAUGAUAAUGACAGUACCGGGAGAAUAAGCUCCGGCUAACUCCGUG
rnacentral:rRNA from 1 species